ACCUAAGAAAAACCUACACGGAAGAUGGAGAUUUCAUCAAUGAACUAUAAUCCAUUUAUAUAGGGGAUAUAAUACUUUUUACCACUUGCAAUCGUUAUCAAAGAGCUUUGACAAAGGGAUUUGCCCAAAGACUCAAUACAUUUGAUCUGUGUAACGAGAAGUGUACAGAGUACAAGGGAGACUAUCACUCUGCUACGAGUGACCUUUUAAAUAGUUCAUCAUCAUUUGACUUCUGACCUCCAACCUCUCCUAGUCAGGGCUAAGUAAAAUCACUGGCCUGUGACCUUUGCAUUAUAUGCGAAGCAAUGAGGCUUGUGUAAACAGCCUUGGGGAUCAAUGGUGUAAUGGUCAGGAACAACAACAAAAGACGAAAUGGGUCGUGCGAGGUCGAUACCGCCCUCUGAGGUCAUCGUUGCAUGCGUUUUAACACAUGCAGGCGGGACCAUACAGAAUGAAUCAAGCCUCCAUACGAUUUGCUACAUUUGGUGGAGAAUACGGGGGGGGAAAAAGGCUGAAAAUGAUAGCAUGGGUACAUCUGAACAAAGAGUCUAUGUCUAACAUUGUUAGAGUGUGGUGAAUCUACCUUAACCAGAACCUACAAUGUAAUAGCCAUCUAGCGAUGCAAGGGCUAAUUUGGGGAGUAGUUGUGCGGGGAAAGCUGGAAAAAUGCUGUUAAAGUGCUUUCCUGGCCAACAGGACAAUCAGACGUGUUGGUGAGAUGGCUCAGUAUUCAGUGAAAAUCAAGAUGAGGACUUUACAAUGUGUCAACUCUAAUGACAAGGGCACCAAUUCUAUCACAUUGAUCUUGACAAGUGAUAUAUCUCCUGGUUAUGGACCGGAAAGUCCCGACACGCUGGUGACAUUGACUUGGUCAUUGUUGUGUAAAUCUGCCUGGGCACAAACAGAAACCAG